UAUCCUGGGAAACACGGAUUUGGGAAUCUCUGGGGGCCUGGGGGGGGGUCCCCAAAAUCUGGGGCUGCGGCAGGAAGUGGAUCCAGGUGUUCCCAUCCCAUCCAGGUGUUCCCAUCCAAUCCAGGUGUUCCCAGUCAAUCCAGGUGUUCCCAACCAAUCCAGGUGUUCCCAGUCAAUCCAGGUGUUCUCAAUCAAUCCAGGUGUUCCCAACCAAUCCAGGUGUUCCCAGCCAAUCCAGGUGUUCCCAUCCAGGUGUUCCCAAUCAAUCCAGUUCUUCCCAACCAAUCCAGGUGUUCCCAAGCAGUCCAGAUGUUCCCAGCCAGUCCAGGUGUUCUCAGUCAAUCCAGGUGUUCUGAUCCAAUCCAGGUGUUCCCAUCCCAUCCAGGUGUUGCCAACCCAUCCAGGUGUUCCCAUCCAAUCCAGGUGUCCCCUCAGGUGUCCCCCCCAGGAGCUCAGAAGUCCCCCCAGGUGUCCCCCCAGGUGUCCCCAAUCCCAG